AUUGAACGCUGGCGGCAUGCCUUACACAUGCAAGUCGAACGGCAGCAUAGAGAGCUUGCUCUCUGAUGGCGAGUGGCGAACGGGUGAGUAAAGCAUCGGAACGUACCGUGUAGUGGGGGAUAACGUAGCGAAAGUUACGCUAAUACCGCAUACGCACUGAGGUGGAAAGCAGGGGAUCGCAAGACCUUGCGCUAUACGAGCGGCCGAUGUCAGAUGAGCUAGUUGGUAGGGUAAAGGCCUACCAAGGCGACGAUCUGUAGCGGGUCUGAGAGGAUGAUCCGCCACACUGGGACUGAGACACGGCCCAGACUCCUACGGGAGGCAGCAGUGGGGAAUUUUGGACAAUGGGGGCAACCCUGAUCCAGCCAUGCCGCGUGAGUGAAGAAGGCCUUCGGGUUGUAAAGCUCUUUCGGCCGGGAAGAAAUCGCACAGGCUAAUACUCUGUGUGGAUGACGGUACCGGCAUAAGAAGCACCGGCUAACUACGUGCCAGCAGCCGCAGUAA
rnacentral:rRNA from 1 species